UACCGGCAGCUCGAGUGAUGUCCAAUAUUAUUGGGCCUAAAGCGUCCGUAGCUGGCCGCGCAAGUCCGUCGGGAAAUCCACCCGCUCAACGGGUGGGCGUCCGGCGGAAACUGCGUGGCUUGGAACCGGAAGGCUCAGAGGGUACGUCCGGGGUAGGAGUGAAAUCCCGUAAUCCCGGACGGACCACCGAUGGCGAAAGCACUCUGAGAAGACGGCUUCGACAGUGAGGGACGAAAGCUAGGGUCUCAAA
rnacentral:rRNA from 1 species